GACGUAGGUGGCGAACGUUAUCCGGAAUUAUUGGGCGUAAAGGGUGCGUAGGUGGCCUGACAAGUUAUCAGUGGCAAAUCGAGGCUCAACCUCGUGGAAACUGGUAAUACUGUUCGGCUUGAGUACAGGAGAGGUUAACGGAACUCUAUGUGGAGCGGUGAAAUGCGCAGAUAUCAGGAGGAACACCGGUGGCGAAGGCGGAUCUCUGGGCCAUUACUGACGCUGAGGAGCGAAAGCGUGGGGAGCGAACAGG
rnacentral:rRNA from 1 species